rnacentral:rRNA from 1 species
AAGCGGGGAUGACGUCAAGUCCUCAUGGCCUUUAUGUCCAGGGCUACACACGUACUACAAUGGCCGGUACAAAGGGCGGCGAGUCAGCGAUGACGAGCAAAUCCCGUAAAGCCGGUCUCAGUCCGGAUUGGAGUCUGCAACUCGGCUCCAUGAAGUUGGAAUCGCUAGUAAUCGUGGAUCAGAAUGCCACCGGUGAAUACGUUCCCGGCCUU